ensembl:miRNA Gm24823 predicted gene, 24823
AUAUAUAUAUAUAUAUGUAUGUGUGUGUGUGUGUGUGUAUACAUAUAUAUACACACAAACACAUAUAUAUGCAUGUAUACAUAUGUA